GCUCACCCACGUAGCUGAGGACCACUGGCAAAGACCAGGCCGUGCAGCAGGCCCAGCACGGUGAUGAGGAGGUUGAGGCGGAAGAAGAAGAUCUGGAUGAGCUGCGCCUUGGCCAGGCCCAGAACAAGGAUACCGGGCAGGGCCAUGAAGCCCACGGUGUCCACGAGGAUCAUGACGAUGGAGAACAGAUUGAGGAGGCCCGAGCGCAGGUCCAUGCCCAGCAGCAGGCAGCAGACGAUGAAGGUGGGCAGCAGACAGAUGGCCAGCAUGAAGAGGCCCUCGGGGACCACGUUCAGUUUCCCCAAGCCGUGGGAGGCCGGGAGCCCCCAGAGACCCUGCACUCACUGACAGUCGAGGGGCAGAACUCGUCUUUAUGAGCUCCAAAGGCAUAAAGGCGGCAGCAGGAGGACGGGGUCAGCCAGUCAAUGAAGUCGUCCACCCAGGAGGAGGCGGAGAUGGCCAGCCGGACAUAUAAGAAACGGGACAUCCAAAAGCAAUCACAAAUAGAAGUCACCGCACAUUACCGGGGAAAGACUUGGACUUAGAAAAAACCUGAUAAAACUUUAAUUUUAUACCUCAGGCUAAUCUCCAGGACAGAGACACCAGCAACAAUCACAUUUUUUUUUAAAGCAAACCUCCAGGGAGGGGGAGAAUCUGAUCUUUAGAGUUACCAUACGAUAAGACUCAAAUGUCCAUUUCUCAAUGACAACUAUCACAGAGACACAAACAAUCAGGAAAGUAUGGCCCAUACCUAGGAACCAACACCAUUUAACAGACGAUCUCCUCAAGAAAGACCAAUUGGUGGACACAUCAGACAGACACAGAUGCUCAAAGAGCACCCAGACAAAACCAAGAGAAGCAAGUGUGAACAAAAUGGAACGAUCAACCACUAGAAAACAGAAAACAGAACCCAGAAAGGAAUUUUGAAACUGGAAAGUAUGAGGACUAACUACAUGAAAAAUUCUGGUCAUAGAUUGCAUGAUCUUAUGUACAUGAAAUUCUAACAUUCUACCCCAAUCCCUUAAAAACUAGUAAAUAAAUUCAGCAAGGUUGCAAGUUACAAGAUCAGCGCACAAAAGUCAGUCACAUUUCUAUGCAUGAGCACUGAAUGACCCAAACAGGGAACCGGGACAAGCCUAGUCACAACAGCAUAAAAAGAAUAAAGUACUUAGGAAAUAAUGUCACCCAAGGGGUGAGCGACUGCACACUGACAACCACACAGCAUUGCUGAAAGAAAUUAAAGAACACACAAAUAUGUGGGAAGACACCUGUGUUCGUGGGCUGGAAAACUGACUACUGUACAGGCUGCUGGAGAGUGUCCAAGUUCAGUGCAAUCCUGUCCAGGUCCCGGGGUGCCUGGGUGGCACAGCAGUUAAGCGUCUGCCUUCGGCUCAGGGCGUGAUCCCGGCGNGUUAUGGGAUCGAGCCCCACAUCAGGCUCCUCCGCUAUGAGCCUGCUUCUUCCUCUCCCACUCCCCCUGCUUGUGUUCCCUCUCUCGCUGGCUGUCUCUAUCUCUGUUGAAUAAAUAAAUAAAAUCUUUAAAAAAAAAAAAUCCUGUCCAGGUCCCAAUGACGUUUCUUGCAUAAAUAGAAAAAUCCAUCUUAGAAUUCACAAGGGACUCCGAAUACCCAAACAAUCUUUAAAAGAGGAAUAAAGUUGGGGGACUCGGGGUGCCUGGGUGGCUCAGUGAGUUGGGAGUCCUACUCUUGAUUUUGGCUCAGGUCCUGAUCUCAGGGUCAUGGGAUCUGGACUUCCAUUGGGCUCCACACUCAACAGGCACUCUGUUUGG